UGUUUCUUUCAGGUCUUUUUGCGGUCUGGACUUGCUGUCACAUGACAAUCCAGGAAGCCCUUACCCCAAAAAGCAUCUGCAAGAGGCC
rfam:Gasterosteus aculeatus cont1.001664, whole genome shotgun sequence.